GUGGAUUAGAUACCCUGGUAGUCCACGCCCUAAACGAUGUCAACUAGCUGUUGGGGUUUAUUAACCUUAGUAGCGCAGCUAACGCGUGAAGUUGACCGCCUGGGGAGUACGGUCGCAAGAUUAAAACUCAAAGGAAUUGACGGGGACCCGCACAAGCGGUGGAUGAUGUGGAUUAAUUCGAUGCAACGCGAAAAACCUUACCUACCCUUGACAUGUCUGGAAGAUUCAAGAGAUUGAAUUGUGCUCGCAAGAGAACCGGAACACAGGUGCUGCACGGCCGUCGCCAGCU
rnacentral:rRNA from 1 species